rnacentral:lncRNA from 1 species
CACAGAUCAAUUUACCAGUGCCAAAAACCACUCAUGUACUGUGUGUGCAUAGGACAUUUACUUGACCUCAUUUUAAAGAUCGCCUUCCAGAAAGACACUAAUGAAAGCCAUCAUAUUAUGCAGAUGUUCUACAGCUGGACUUGGUAGGAUACAAAACAGAAUUUCAAGGGUCAGUGGCACUAGGACAACCAGCAGUGCCAGAGCCCCCAGGCACUCUGCCAUAGAGACAGAAAUUAAGAUACUGCCAGUUGAUGAAGUGCACUAGCAAACAGAGCUGCAGAAAGCUGCAAUGACAGUGAAGCAUUUUAACCCAGUACACGAUAUACACAGCAGGUUGCUGUGCAGACACUCUGACUUACAGAGUUGAACUGAAUGGGACAAGAAAAUGCCACACAUUCACAAGGCGAUUAUUUGUGUCUGGCUGACUCCAGCUGACUGCAAAGUGCCCCUGUCAAGCUCUCUGUCAAGGCCGAGUACUGGUGCUGAAAAAUAAAAGGCAGUAUGUGAAAAAUUAUGAACA